rnacentral:rRNA from 1 species
CUGAACCAGCCAAGUAGCGUGAAGGAUGACUGCCCUAUGGGUUGUAAACUUCUUUUAUACGGGAAUAAAGUUAGGCACGUGUGCCUUUUUGUAUGUACCGUAUGAAUAAGGAUCGGCUAACUCCGUGCCAGCAGCCGCGGUAAUACGGAGGAUCCGAGCGUUAUCCGGAUUUAUUGGGUUUAAAGGGAGCGUAGGCGGAUGCUUAAGUCAGUUGUGAAAGUUUGCGG